rnacentral:lncRNA from 10 species
GAAUGAGACUCGUCGCACCGAAGCCGCCGCCACCACCGCGCCUCCGCCUCGGCCGCCGCCGCAGCUGCUCCUGGUCCCCGUCCCUUUGCCGCCCUCGUCAGGCCCAGCUCUCCUGCGCCGCCGCCUCCCGCCGCGCCCCGCCAUGCCGCUCUACUCCGAGACAGGCUGGUCUCGAACUCCUGACCUCAUGAUCCGCCCGCCUCGACCUCCCAAAGUACUGGGAUUACAGGCGUGAGCCACCACGCCCAGCCUGCUGAAGUCUCAGUUUCUUUAACUAUGAAAUGAGAAGUUAGGUUUGAUCCAGUGAAAUUUUAUUCAGCACCUACUGCAUGCAUGCUCCUCUUGAUUAGUUACUGUAAAAUGGGGAAAGGAGAAAUUUGAAGGUGUAGAAUUGAAUACAGAUGAACCUCCAAUGGUAUUCAAGGCUCAGCUGUUUGCGUUGACUGGAGUCCAGCCUGCCAGACAGAAAGUUAU